AAAAAUGAAGCGCAAGAGCGAAAGGAGGCGAGCCGAGUCGAGGAAAAAGCGCUGUGCAGCUCACAGCAGCUCAGAGGCGGAGCCAAACUCUGAUAUUUACAUUGAGAUAACAGAUCAACUGUAUUUUGCCAUACUUCAGCAAAAGAUCAAGAGCACAGCUGAAAGACACUGUUUCUGCAUCGAUGAAGAACUGGCAUAUGAGAACUUCUAUGCGGACUUUGGUCCCCUUAACCUGGCCAUGUUUUAUCGCUUCUGCUGCAAGCUGACAAAGAAGCUCAAGUCCAUUACACUCUCAAGGAAGAAGAUCAUAUUUUAUACAUGUGGAGAUCAGAAGAAGCAAGCCAAUGCUGCCUAUCUAAUAGGCUCAUAUGCAGUAAUGCAUCUAAAUAUGUUGCCAGAGGAGGCCUACAGUCUGCUGGUGUCAAGAAAUUCAUCAUAUAUUCCAUUCAGAGAUGCUUCAUUUGGAACCUGCAUGUACAAUCUGAACAUCCUAGACUGUCUUCGUGGUGUGCACAAAGCUUUGCAUUAUGGCUGGCUCGACUUCUCUAACUUUGAUGUGGAAGAAUAUGAGCACUAUGAGAGAGCAGAAAAUGGAGACUUGAAUUGGAUCAUUCCAGGAAAGUUCCUUGCAUUCAGUGGGCCGCAUCCAAAAAGCAAAAUAGAGAAUGGGUACCCUUUGCACGCUCCUGAGGCCUACAUCCCAUACUUCAGGAAGCACAACAUCACUACCAUCAUCAGACUCAACAAGAAGAUGUAUGAUGCCCGACGUUUUACAGACUCUGGGUUUGAACAUCAGGACCUCUUCUUUGUGGAUGGAAGCACACCGAAUGAUUCUAUUGUUAGGACGUUUCUCAACAUCUGUGAGAACGCUGAAGGAGCCAUUGCAGUCCACUGUAAAGCUGGGCUAGGAAGGACUGGUACUCUGAUUGCCUGCUAUAUGAUGAAACAUUACCGCCUAACUGCAGCAGAGGCCAUCGCUUGGAUACGGAUCUGCCGACCAGGGUCCAUCAUUGGACCUCAGCAGAACUUUGUUGAAGAGAAGCAGAACAGUCUGUGGGCAGAAGGAGAUGUUUUCCGCGAGAAGAUGCUGAAUGAACGUGAGAAUGGUAAGAUGGCUGUAACCAGGAUCCUAUCUGGAGUGGAUGACAUAACCAUCAAUGGGAGCAACAAGAACAGAGGAUCCAAGAAAGAAGAGAUGGAAAUGUACAAUGAUGAAGAGGAGAGAAAUGGCCUAACACAGGGUGAUAAAUUGCGAGCUCUUAAGAGCAAGAGGCAGGCCAGAUCAUCUUCGGGUUCACUAUCGCAGGUGGUAGUGUUCUGCUGCAGCCUCAUGGGCACGGUGUGGCCGAUGUGUUGCCUGCCGUUCAAAAGAUAGCAGAGAGAGGCAGAGAAAGAGUUGGGGAGAGGAAAAACAGAGAGAGGAUGUGAGGUUUUGUACGUUGGAGAGGUUAUGCACUUAGUGGAUGCAUUACAUUUACACGCCUUUCAUUAUCUGCCUCAUGGACACACCGAGCUGUUCUGCUUUGAUAUCAAGGCAUAUCUGUGGUAUCCUCUGAGUCACAAUAAAAGCUCUCAAGUUAACAGCACCAAUUAUUCAACCAAUCACGGUUUUAAAUAAGAUCGGGAUUAGUUGAAUUCAAUGUUUUAUUGCUUGGCUUGCACGACUGACUUGGCUCACAUCAAGAUAAAGUCUGAAUCAGGGAAGCUUUGACCUUGUUCUCAUCUGCAGUACGUAAUUCCUCAUUGCUUGGUAAAGUAGUGAAUUUGCCAGCUGAUUCAUUAAUGUUUAGGUGUAAAUUGGCAGUAGUUCUUUGGUACUGGACUAAGCUAUGAUUUCGAGUGUUUUGUGAGUUUAAUUAGUGUCUUUAAAUUCUGUUAUUUGGAUAGUAAAAUCCUCCAGAUCCUCGUUAUCACAUAAAGCAUUAGAAAAACAUUGUGGGCUAGGGGCUAUGGGCUAGGUAGUUGCACGAAAACAGAGAGUUGAGGCUGAAGGGAGAUUUUCUUGCACUACAGGCCAUAUGCUGCUGCAGGGAAUGCAUUGCUACACAUCUAAUGCUCCAUUUCCAGCUGAGCAUCACCAUCUGGCUCCACUGUUUGGUUUAUUAUGCAACACCAAUAUGCAUGUUAAACUCCAGGGACGAUUAGAACGAUGACUGUCAGAACUUCUUCACUUUUCUGCCUCUUCACGCAUGGCAACAGGCAUGAAACCCUUGGACAUGCACGCAUGCACAUGCCUCUGUGUUUGUGUCUAACAUGUACUUAAUGCUGGGCUGGGAUCAUUGUCAGUUGCCUGUUGUUUUUCCAUUGCUCUUGUGACUGGAUCAGUGUAUGCAUACCAUCUGAGCUUUGUUUACUCUUGCAGGAGUCCAUCUCUGUUAGCUUCUAUUAAAAGUGUGGGACAGAGUUUAGAAAUGGGUGUUUAAUUCUUGUAGGAUCUGACUAUUUUUAGAUGUUUCUGUUAAACAGAGCCCAUCUCCUUCAUUGGCAGGCUUAUAUCAAUCACUACAAUUUCAGUACCAGGGAUACUGUUAUCUAUUUAAUGUCUGUAAAUGCUGCCUGGGGUUCUUUUUUUUCUUCCUAGAAUCGUGUUUUAUUUUCAAGUACUUUUGAGGAGCUUACAAUACAAAAAAACUCACUCCUAUAUUUAUUAUAAAUAUGUAGAACUUAAGUAAAAUAAAGUUGUUGUUUUUUUCCUCAAGUAAGUUAACCUACUUUAAACUUCCUACAUUAGUUGGGUUCUUUAUGGCUGACUGCUUAUACAACAGAGCAAGUGAUGAACAAAAAUAUGCUGUUUGGCACUGUUGGAUGAAAGGCUCUACAAAAGGUGAUUCAUCUAAUCCAGUCCCAGUGGAAAAGCACAACAUCAGAGGCUUUAUGUCCUGCCCAGACGUCUCUUGUCUCUCCUUCCUUUUUUCCCCCUUUUUUUCCAUUUGCUCUUGUUGUUGGAUUUGUCCUCC